CUUGGUCAUUUAGAGGAAGUAAAAGUCGUAACAAGGUUUCCGUAGGUGAACCUGCGGAAGGAUCAUUACAGAGUUCAUGCCCUUCGGGGUAGAUCUCCCACCCUUGUGUAUCAUUAUAGAAUGUUGCUUUGGCGGGCCGCGCCUAGUGUGCCUGGAUUCGCGUUCAGCGUGCCCGCCAGAGGACCCCUAAACUCUGAAUGUUAGUGUCGUCUGAGUACUAUUAAAUAGUUAAAACUUUCAACAACGGAUCUCUUGGUUCUGGCAUCGAUGAAGAACGCAGCGAAAUGCGAUAAGUAAUGUGAAUUGCAGAAUUCAGUGAAUCAUCGAAUCUUUGAACGCACAUUGCGCCCCCUGGUAUUCCGGGGGGCAUGCCUGUUCGAGCGUCAUUUAUACCAAUCUAGCCCGGCUAGGUGUUGGGCUUCGCCGUUUGGCGGGCCUUAAAACCAGUGGCGGUGCUCUUAGGCUCUACGCGUAGUAAUUUUCUCGCUAUAGGGUCCUGGGAGAUGCUUGCCAGCAACCCCAAAUUUUUCUUAGGUUGACCUCGGAUCAGGUAGGGAUACCCGCUGAACUUAAGCAUAUCAAUAAGCGGAGGAAAAGAAACCAAAGA
rnacentral:rRNA from 1 species